AUUUGGGAUAGGAGGCCCCUGGAUUCCAACCAGGGAUCUCUGGUGUUGAUGUUGGAAGUCACCCCUACAAACAAAUCUGAAACUCUUUAGGAAUAAUGGAGAAGCUGUGAUAGAACAAAGCCAGGACGCCUUCUGACAGAGUCAGAUAAAGACACUGAGACAGCAUGUUCCCAGACCUACUCUGGCCACUUUACAAAGCAUAACGGUGAAGACCAGGAAGGAACCAGAAAACGCAGAUGCUGGAAGAGGAUGAAGUCUGAAUGAGGAGGGAAUUUCUGAGUCUUAAAUGUCAUGCAAUUUGCGUUGUAAAAAUAGACCACGAGGAUCAAAGAACUAAAUGUAAGAGCUAAAGCUACAAAGCUCUCAGAAGAAAACACAGGCAUAAAUCUUUGUGCCCUUGGAUUAAGCAAUGGUUUCUUAGAUAUGACACCAAAAGCACAAGCUAUAAAAGACAUAUAAAGUGGACAUCAACCAACUGAAGACUUUUGUGCUUCCCUCGGGAAGAGGGAAGUUCCAAAGAACUGGAGGAAAUUUUUAUAAAUUGUAUGUCUGAUAAGGGACUUGUAGCUGGAAUAUAUAAAGAGCUUCUACAGCUCAAUAAUAUAGAGGCCGUUUUUAGGGAACAGACGUGAGCAAUGGAAACUUGAUCAAGGCAAGAGGGCCCAUAGUGAUCCCAACCCCCAGCUGAAUACAAACGGGGCCAUCACACAGCCCACCUCAAAACACCCGUAGGCUCUAAGUAACCAACUAAAAAGGGGGAAAUGUCCCAAAGAAGGGGAAAUUCCAAAUGUCCCCAUACCUCCUCACCUUCUCCCUUUAAAUACAGCCCGGACCCACUGCCUCAUUGCAGCCAGUCUCUGCUUUGCUGUCCUGCCUGCGCUCCCUUGCAGCAUAUUCAAGAAAUUUCUAUCUCCUUUGUUCCGCCUCAGGUGAAUCCCUUCACUGCCCACUCCACCGGCUUCCACCCAGUCCGGAUGCCCCACAUUUGGGGAUCCCCAUCCAAGGGGGACAGACACCACAAAUGAUAAAACAGCAAAAGAAAUGGGAGAAGGAUCUGAACAGGCAUUUCUCCAACAAAGAUGUACCAAUGGAUAAGUACAUUUAAAGAUGCUUGACGUCCUUACCAAUCAGAGAAAUACAAAUCAACAUCACAAUGAGAUAACUAUUUCACACCCACUAGGAUGGUUAUAGUCAAAAUGAUGGUAAGUAUCAGGAAGGAUGUGGAGAACUGGAACACUUCUACAUUGCUGGUGGGAAUACAAAAUGGUGUAGCCUUUCUAGAAAAGUCUGGCAUUUCCUCACAGGGUUUGACACAGUAACCAUAUGAUCCAGCAAUUCCAUUUCCAGGUAUACACCCAAGGGAAAUGAAAACAUGGAUCCACACAGAAACCUGCAUUCAUGGCCACAUGAUUCCCAUUAGCCAGAACGUCGGAACAAAACCAGAAGUCCAUCAACUGAUGAGUACAUUAACGAAAUGUGGUACAAACGCACGACGGAAUAUUAUUUAGCCACCCGUGAACCUUGAAAGCACCAGGCAAAGUGAAAGAAAGAAGCCAGUUACAAAAGAUUACAUACUGUGUGAUUCCAUUUAUAUGAAAUGCUCAGAAUAAGCAAAUCCACGGAGCCAGAAAGUAAACUAGCGGUUGUCCAUGGCUGGGGAGGUUGGGGGGUGGGGAGUAGGAAAUGUCUACUUGGAUACAGGGCUUCUUUUUGGCAUA